UACAGAGGGUGCAAGCGUUAAUCGGAAUUACUGGGCGUAAAGCGUGCGUAGACGGUUACAUAAGUCGGGUGUGAAAGCCCCGGGCUCAACCUGGGAAUUGCAUUCGAGACUGCGUAGCUAGGGUGCGGAAGAGGGAAGCGGAAUUUCCGGUGUAGCGGUGAAAUGCGUAGAGAUCGGGAGGAACACCAGUGGCGAAGGCGGCUACCUGGACCAGCACUGACACUGAGGCACGAAAGCGUGGGGAGCAAACAGG
rnacentral:rRNA from 1 species